UAACACAUGCAAGUCGAGGGGCAGCAUGGUCUUAUCUUGCUAAGGCCGAUGGCGACCGGCGCACGGGUGAGUAACACGUAUCCAACCUGCCGUCUACUCUUGGACAGCCUUCUGAAAGGAAGAUUAAUACAAGAUGGCAUCAUGAGUCCGCAUGUUCACAUGAUUAAAGGUAUUCCGGUAGACGAUGGGGAUGCGUUCCAUUAGAUAGUAGGCGGGGUAACGGCCCACCUAGUCUUCGAUGGAUAGGGGUUCUGAGAGGAAGGUCCCCCACAUUGGAACUGAGACACGGUCCAAACUCCUACGGGAGGCAGCAGUGAGGAAUAUUGGUCAAUGGACGAGAGCCUGAACCACCCAAGUAGCGUGAAGGAUGACUGCCCUAUGGGUUGUAAACUUCUUUUAUAAAGGAAUAAAGUCGGGUAUGCAUACCCGUUUGCAUGUACUUUAUGAAUAAGGAUCGGCUAACUCCGUGCCAGCAGCCGCGGUAAUACGGAGGAUCCGAGCGUUAUCCGGAUUUAUUGGGUUUAAAGGGAGCGUAGAUGGAUGUUUAAGUCAGUUGUGAAAGUUUGCGGCUCAACCGUAAAAUUGCAGUUGAUACUGGAUAUCUUGAGUGCAGUUGAGGCAGGCGGAAUUCGUGGUGUAGCGGUGAAAUGCUUAGAUAUCACGAAGAACUCCGAUUGCGAAGGCAGCCUGCUAAGCUGCAACUGACAUUGAGGCUCGAAAGUGUGGGUAUCAAACAGGAUUAGAUACCCUGGUAGUCCACACGGUAAACGAUGAAUACUCGCUGUUUGCGAUAUACGGCAAGCGGCCAAGCGAAAGCGUUAAGUAUUCCACCUGGGGAGUACGCCGGCAACGGUGAAACUCAAAGGAAUUGACGGGGGCCCGCACAAGCGGAGGAACAUGUGGUUUAAUUCGAUGAUACGCGAGGAACCUUACCCGGGCUUAAAUUGCAGAUGAAUUACGGUGAAAGCCGUAAGCCGCAAGGCAUCUGUGAAGGUGCUGCAUGGUUGUCGUCAGCUCGUGCCGUGAGGUGUCGGCUUAAGUGCCAUAACGAGCGCAGCCCUUGUUGUCAGUUACUAACAGGUUCCGCUGAGGACUCUGACAAGACUGCCAUCGUAAGAUGUGAGGAAGGUGGGGAUGACGUCAAAUCAGCACGGCCCUUACGUCCGGGGCUACACACGUGUUACAAUGGGGGGUACAGAGGGCCGCUACCACGCGAGUGGAUGCCAAUCCCCAAAACCUCUCUCAGUUCGGACUGGAGUCUGCAACCCGACUCCACGAAGCUGGAUUCGCUAGUAAUCGCGCAUCAGCCACGGCGCGGUGAAUACGUUCCCGGGCCUUGUACACACCGCCCGUCAAGCCAUGGGAGCCGGGGGUACCUGAAGUGCGUAACCGCGAGGAGCGCCCUAGGGUAAAACUGGUGACUGGGGCUAAGUCG
rnacentral:rRNA from 1 species